CCGUGGCAGCUGCGCGGCGGAGGGCGUGUGCGUGAAGGCUGCGCGUUCCUCCGGCUUCCGGCGUGCCGCGGCAUGGAAGGCUUGGAGUGCGAGACGGAGGGCAGCCUAUGGAGUGCCGUGGGGGUGCAGCUGGCUAUGAGGUCAGGAGAGGCGGCUAGGAAGACGGUCGCCUCCAUGACACAGACGUCGCUCUCCGCAUCACACACUUUGUCCUCUGUCUUCCUCCAGAUCUUGUUUUCUUGACAUCUACAGUCUAGAUCGAAGGAAGAUUCGCUUCUUUGCCAAUUCUCCAUGCCAUUCACUCAUCUUACAUCUUACAAUAAAAGCUUACUUUGAACUCCUUAUGAUCAGGCUGUCAGAUGUAUUUAUAGUAACUCUUAUCUAGAAAUAUGUCUCACGAAAGAAAUGCCCUCAUUCAUAGAUAUACUUGAUAGUCUUGAUUCCAGAGCCAAAAAGAGAAUGAAGUUCUAUGUAAUAAUGUGGCAAAAUCUUUGUUUUGUUCAUGUGUUCUAUCUGACGUGAUUUUUCUUGCUACUAACUUCCUGCUCCUGACAUAUAAACUGCUGUUUGCAGCACUUGGAUAUACGUAGUUGUAUCAAAAUUCCCUUCUUACAACAUGGCUUGCUGCUACUAGGAAUAUUAGAUUGGAAGCACCUACAUUGGACUAGAUUAAUUUGAUUUCUUUGGUAUAGCUUGCUUACUUCAUAAUUGUGAUACUUGUAGUUUGAAAAUAUUUUGUUUCAUCUUUGGUAUGUUAUUCAGUUUUCAGAAAUGAUCUCCAAGUGCUUAUGAUGGUGUUACUGAAUGUUGAUUGAUGCUGUUGGAAACAAUAUAUGGACACUUGCUUGUUUCUUUGAGUUGACACAAGUCCAAUGAGAAUUCUACACCGACAAAAUGAGAGAGGAAUUCAGCCCUAAAGAAAGCAUUGACAGUGAAACCGGCAUAUAUUUUAUCACUUGGUCCUUCUAUCAAUGAAGCAAUGUCAAGAGGUAACGGAUGCAGUGUGGAUAAUGCAGAGUUUGCUAUGGAGACUCUAAAUCAAUUGAACACCUACGCUUGCCCCAGAACUCUUGGUAGCUAAGAGCCUCACACAUGGAUGUCAGUCGGGGCUUCCGUCCCACACCACUCUGUUGGCCACGCCUGCAGCCAUCCCAGCAUCACCCUCCCGCUGUCGUAAACGAUCCGGCAUUGCUGCCCACACCCCUGCUUUGCUGCGUACCACUUCUAUAGCCUGUACAGUGGGGCGGCAAGCAUGCGACUGAAGACGAUCAGUGUAAUCUUACCAAGAUCAUGUGCUUUUUUAUCUCUGGUUCUUGCAAGACGAUUCUUUGCCGUACGUGUCAGGUGACUGAAUCCCGCCGAGUAUUAUUAGGCGGAGGAAGGGACAGAAACAGGGCACGCCACUCUGCAUUUUUGGUCUCGCCGAAAUGACUUCAGUAUCAGCCAGGGGGCUGUGCAUCACUGGGAAUUUUCCAUUUGGAAGGUCCAAUUCCUGACCAUGAUGCUAUAUGAACCGCAACCUGGAACAGUGAAUCCUGAUCGCGAAUGUGCCCGCGGCGCAAGAGAGGAGGGGGCAUCAGCUUGAGUAUAGCCAAGUGGCGGGACAGACAGGCGCGAUGGCAAUGGCAAUGGAAUUGGCCAACAAAUUGCUACUGGUGCUCCAGAGCUACUCGCUGCCAGUUUGGGCCAUGAUAAUCUCGGGGCUCUUCGUCGCCGUAUCACUCUCGCUGUCCAUCUACUUGCUCUUCAACCACCAUCGGCCUACAAGAACCCAGAGGAGCAGAAGUUCCUCGUCGGCGUCGUUCUGAUGGUGCCGAUAUACGCAAUCGAGUCGGUAAGGUGGCUAUGCCAUGUCUUGUUCAAGUGCGCGGUCACAAUGUUGUUGGCUGGGAGAGGUCGAUCCAGCCGUUAACUCUUGGCGUGGACCAGAACCCAUAAGCCAAUAGUAUUAGGUUUAGAUGGCUUUCCAGGGAUUGAAGUGGUUGGAGCUGCAGGCCGAACUCAAAUUAUUUGUUUUUUCAGUACCAUUUGUUAAUUCAAUUGCAAACAUUGUGCUAAUAGAUAAAGACAUGUCCCAAUCUUCUUGGUCUGCUCACGUAUGGAGGCGAUCUGAAUUAAAGGAAGAACUCUAUGUUGUCUGCUUGAAUCAAUUGUUCAUCUCUACAUUAACGAAUAGAAUCGCAAAGGAAAAAAACAUUCUCUCUCCUCCCACCAGCGGCCUCGAUCUGGGAUCGCCAGGGAUGCCGCUAAAUAUAAUAUCUCAUGGUAUGGAGAAAUACAGAAGAAUUUGUUCAGACUUCAGAAAUGUGUGGUUGAGGAGACAAAAACACACAGCAGACUUCAGAAAUGUUUUCAGAAUCGCAAAGGAAAAAAACAUUCUCUCUCCUCCCACCAGCGGCCUCGAUCUGGGAUCGCCAGGGACGCCGCUAAAUAUAAUAUCUCAUGGUAUGGAGAAAUACAGAAGAAUUUGUUCAGACUUCAGAAAUGUGUGGUUGAGGAGACAGAAACACACAACAGUCUGCACUACACACUUGACAUACAUGCAAAGAUCUUCACUAAGAUAUAUCGAGCAGAGCUCAUCACAACAUCCUGUGACGUUCUCAACCAUGUUAUCCUUCACGAUAAACAUAUUUUGAGGGAGACAAGAGAGCAUCCAAGCACGACCAUGUUGAACUUGAUGUCUUGCUGCAGUACAAGUGGCUGUUGUCCCUUGAUCCAGGUAUGAUUUCUGAAGAUUAUUUCACUAAUUAGCUAUACCCAGUGACCAGUGUAGAUCUGGCACGUCCACUUCUAAAUGAACAAGAUAUUUCAAGGUGAUGCAUCGUGUCGUGGUCGUUGUCUGUGCUAUCCGUCUUCCUCAUUUGUGCUAAUUUGAUUACUCUUUUUUGAAGGCAGUGCAUCGUCGGGUUUCUCAUAACAUGUUGGUAGAUUUUAUUUAUUGUCUUCUUAAGAAAUAGAUCGACCCAAAACAUUGUUCAUAUUUACAGGUUGAUUAUUUUCGUAGAUUUAUAAUCCAAAUACAUGACCCACUACAAGAUUACGAGCUUGGAGUCGUCCUUCUUGUUUAGGAGGGCAGAUUUGGUACUAAACAAUUAAUUGGUGUUGAUAGACUUGUACUGUGAAAAAUAAUGGUAAUAUGAACAGACUGAUAGUGGUACACAUAGGGUGACAAGGAGUUAUUAUUUUCAUUCCUAUAUGCAACUUUUCUGGCACUAACCAAUAGCAUUGUGCUGCCAGAACACCGUAUGCUUAGUACUGAUUAAAUUUUAUUAUCAGCAAGUCAUAUGCCUUGGUUUGGUGGUGCACACCGCAAGAGCUCCUUAAAUUUGGGGACCCAUCAAGCCACAGUUUCAUGGUUCUCAAGAACAUUUAUCUCGAGAAAAUUCCAAAUAUUUUGGUACCAAAUUUGUCUUUUCGUCAUCCCAUUUUUCUGAUGUAAGUUGGAUGACCUUCAUUCAGCUAGAAGUAUAAGAACCGCAACAGCUGCUGAAGGGUUUGAUUAAGUUAGAAAAAAAACUUCCACAAAAUCUUGUCCCAAUAAAAUUUACCUAUAAAGGAAUCAUUUUAGAAAAUAGAUACAAGAUCCUUAUCAGUUUGAGAUGUUCAACUCCCAACUUGUCUUCUUUGUUCUGUUCUGUGCAAGUGUAUCUUGUUGAUUAUGUGGAUGGUGUACUUGUACAUACUAAAAUUGCGGGCAAAACAAAGUGAUGGAUGGUCUACAAGAUGAUAUUAAUGAAUUAAUCUUCAGGGUAAAAUAAUCUAACCAACAUGCAUCUGUUUAGUUUGAAAUAAUAUUGCCUUCAAAAUGUAUGA